GGGCUCCCGCCGGCCCGGCAGCAGCGCCGCGGCCGCGCGAGGCAUUUGGUGUCGGCUGCGGGCCGUCACGUCAGGGCCCUCUGACGUGCUGCGUGUGCACAGGUGGCUGCGCGGUGCCCGUCAGUGCGCCGCCCGUGGCGGGGUCUGUGCUCGGGGACGGGUGUGUUUGUGGCUGCAGUUGCCGCAGUUCGUCCCGGCCCUCCUGACCUCCCCAGCCCCACACUCGGCCUCGUGGUCCUGGCAUGCCCGCUGCUUCUGCCCCGGAUGCUUCCUCUGGGCUCCGCCCCCAGCACGUCCACGUCACGCCUGCUGCCUUAGUCCUGCAGAAAUCCUGCGCUUUGGAUUUGUGCCACCUUCUGUAAGUUGAAAGCUUCUGGACCAAGUGCGGCAGUGAGAUGGAGUCAGAAGAGGAGGUAUUGCCAUCAGAGAGUCAGCAAAAGUGGUUGACCAAGCCCAAAGGAGGGUGCUGAGGGGAGUUGAUGACCUGGACUUUUUCAUAGGGGAUGAAGCCAUAGAUAAACCCACGUAUGACACAAAGUGGCCAAUAAGACAUGGAAUAAUUGAAGACUGAGAUCUAAUGGAGAGGUUCAUGGAACAAGUUAUUUUUAAUUUUCCCUGAGCUGAACCUGAGGGCCAUCACUUUUUGAUGAGUUUUAGAAUUAAGACUCUCAUCCUCAGAAACCUUCCUAGCAGAUUUGCCCUGUCUGUCCGUGACCAGUGUGGGCCCUAGAGGGGAACAAAAUUACUUUGGUACAUUUUGAUGAGUCAAGAUUCUCUCCUGUUGCUGGUGAGGGGACCACAUCUCAUCACCUGGCCCCAAGAGACAGAACCUCCUCUGAAUACACCAGAAAAUAAAGAAUAUCUUGCAGAAAUUAUGUUAAAAUUAUUUAAUGUACCAGGACUCUACAUUGCAGUUCAGGACGUUGCAGAGAUGAUGUACUAAUAUGCUGGUGCUUUAAUACCUCAAAGUUCAGAAAUCACUGCAGGGGGAGGCUGAUGUGUCUACAGUCAGGAGGAAAAAGCCAAAUCUUUCCCAUCUGUCAUUGCACCCUGCCAGUGUCCCCUUUGCCCGGGGGUGAGGAGAGGCAGGAGGCCUUCAGAGCAUGCUCUGUGCUCGCAGCCCCUUCAUCCAGUCUCGGAACACUGCCCCCUCCUGGGUGUGAGGUGUUUAGGUGCCACUUGCUGUGUGGUCCUGCCUGGCUCCUCUCUGAGGUCACGUCCUCAGAGGUCAGUGCAGGGCAAGGUCAGGUCCUGUGCCUGUGGGUCUGCUUCCUGGCCUCCCCUGUGCAUCUGAAACAAGUUUCACACUACGUGCAGGCCCACAGAGAAAGUUGUUGUUCAAAUUUUUCUCUGUUUCUUAAUGCAGUUUUUUCCCCCUAUUUAUAAAAAUUACAUUUACUGUACAAAAUUUAGGUAAAAUGGAGAAAUGUAAAGAAGAAAAUAGAAUGACCCACAAACCUGCCCAGAGGACUGUGCCACACUUUUUUGGUAUAGUCUACUGAGCUCCUUUUCUUAGACAAACAACACACAUUUUAAGCACAGUUGGGAUACCCUCCAUCUGAUUUCAUAUUCUAAUUGUACAAUGUGCUCCUGAGGUUGUAUUUUGCAUAUUGACUUAUCCCUGAUGUAUCUUUAUGGUUAAAUACUCUGUGGAAAGAUAUUUAGUAACUACCUGACAGCCCAUCAUGUGGGUGUAGCACAAAUCACUUACAUGUUUUCCUACCUUUGGCUGUGGUUUGUUUUAAUAUAUUUAAUCUGUGAUGAAGCUGAUACUCAACAUGGUUUGAAUUAAUUUUAGAAAAUUUUAUAUGUAAUGUAUUGAGUAUAGAAAUUGUGAAUAGUUUCUGUUUGUGAGAGCUACUGUUCUUAUGAUUUUUUUAUUUUAAUAAUAUGUACAUAUCUUUUAUCUUGAUCUUAAAUAUUUUACAAUUGGCUUGGGCUCCUGAGAAAGGCUACACACUCUCUCACUUCUAGAAGUUGGGCACCUCAGAAGACAUAACAGGAAUUCAGUCACCUGUUCUUGCAACUUCAGUGGUAACUGUGCUUGUACAUAGUGGAACUGAUCCAUCUGUCAGAUGGAUGAGGAUUUGCUCCAGCCUUCUGUCUCCAUGAGUGUGUGACAAGCAGCCAGUGCCAUCAGGGAGCUCAGAGUGCCUCCUCUACCUGGUGCAGGUGGAAGGUUAGGUAAUUGGAAGCUGCAUCAAACACAUCCCUAUUGCAGGUAGAGAUAUGUAUUUCAUUCAACAGCUGCCAAGUGAGAGGGAGGUGGGAAUCCCUCCUGAGCAACCACUGGAGACCACAAAGGCCAUUAAGGAGAAGUACUGUCACAUUUGCCCUAAUAUAGUCAAGAAGUUUGCCAAGUAUGACGUGGAUCAGCGGAAGUGGAUCAAACAGCAAACAGGGAACAAUGCCAUCAGCCAGAAGAAAUUCAUUAUCGAUGUUGGCUAGGAAAGUUUCCCAGGCUCUGAAAUUUUCUUUCACCCAGAGAUACUGAUUAACAUGCCAAGUAUAAUGCCUGGCCCAGGAAACUCAGGAGAUGAAUCAAAUAACUUGACCAUGAAGGAGCACUGAGGAGGAGGCAGAGAUGAUCUCUGGCAUGGAAUCAACACACUUAAAGACUGGGAUUUGGAAGUGAGAAGGAGUACAUGGAAGUGAUUCAGGAAGACAAGGAAAUGAGACACAAGUGGCAACAUUUGUCAAAGUAAGAUAAAAGAAUACUUAUUACAAGAUUACUUAUUAUAUUUCUCAUGUCUGUGCAUGUCUUCAUCUUCACCUUCUGGUAACAUAUACAUCCACG